rnacentral:rRNA from 3 species
GGGUUGUGAGGUUAAGCGACUAAGCGUACACGGUGGAUGCCCUGGCAGUCAGAGGCGAUGAAGGGCGUGCUAAUCUGCGAUAAGCGCCGGUAAGGUGAUAUGAACCGUUAUAACCGGCGAUACCCGAAUGGGGAAACCCAGUGUGAUUCGUCACACUAUCAUUAACUGAAUCCAUAGGUUAAUGAGGCGAACCGGGGGAACU